rnacentral:lncRNA from 1 species
CAUAUGGUAACCAUAUGAGAAAUGCACGACAGCCGCACCAAACACCGGCUAUUAAUAGAGACCGCGAGUUUGCUCUCUGUGUCUUUUUCCUGCCACCGAGUAAGGGAUGAUCUUCACACACAUACCCCACUCGGCCCCCGCCUCGGCGCACCGUUUCUCCAGGAAGUUCUUCUCGCGCGCCCCCGACCCCCUCCCCGCCCCUCUCCACCCGCGCUGCGGGCUGAGCAGGAGGGAGGCAGCCCCGAAGGCUCCGCGGCGGCGGCGGCGUCCCCUCUCCCGGGCUGCUGGCAAAGUCCGGCCGGCCCGAGGCAGCCACCAACUCCUCGCAACUUCUGAGGAUCGGCUCUGGGCGAAGCAACACGCUUCCUGCGCGUCUCUCCUAGGGGCUGAGCCCGAGGCCAGGCAGUCUCCCGCUGGCUCAUCUACAGGAGGCCGCUCUGCCAGGGACCCUGCCCUCGGCCCGCUCUGCCAGGGACCCUGCCCUCGGGGAGCUUACAAUCUGAUGGGCUGACAGCCGCUCCCUGCCCUCAUCCCCUCCCCCCUCCCCCGAAAAACAGACAAAUAAACUAGAAACAAUGGCACAAAAAGAGCUUUCGGGCCACCCGCCC